CUUUAAAAGGCUAUGUGUACAUUGUCAGGCUAGCAAACAAAAUCAACCUACUACCUCCAAGCAGGCAAAUGGAGAUACUAUUUCCCACAAACGAUAUCCCUAAGAUAGAGCUGACGAUAGGCCAAAGAGACCACAAGCAAUGUAAGAACAACGAAGCGUCCAAUUGUCUUUCUGCAACUGUUGUUCUGUUUUGAUGCAAAUAAGCGUACUUCUAGCGACCAAGGUCCUGGCACAGACAAUAAUACCAACUAAGAGAUGGGAGCGGAAGUCCCAAUUGUAUAAAGUUCUGAAAUGUUGUCUGUACCUCAUCAUGUUGAAGAAGCAUACAAAUUAAAGGUUUAACUAAAAUUAAUCAAGGAAGAGCAAUACAAUUUUAAAUUACAAUUAUGUUAUAGUUUCUGUACAAACCAAUUAAAGAGCAUUAUUUAUAAACAUA
rnacentral:sRNA from 15 species